rnacentral:rRNA from 1 species
CAAAAACAUAACAAAAUCACGACUCUCGGCAACGGAUAUCUCGGCUCUCGCCACGAUGAAGAAUGUAGCGAAAUGCGAUACUUAGUGUGAAUUGCAGAAUCCCGUGAAUCAUCAAGUCUUUGAACGCAAGUUGCGCCCGAGGCCUCGGCCAAGGGCACGUCUGCUUGGGCGUCGCACUACCGAAUUGCCCUCCCCAGCGAGGAGCGGAGAUGGCCGUCCGUGUCUGCAAGUGGCGCGGUCGGCUGAAAUGAGCACGAGGUCCGUCGGUCCGUCGCGACGAGCGGUGGCUCCCAAAGGCCGGCGUUGGUUUGCGCUGAUCGAACGAUUCCUCGCGAGGAACUUUAUUCUGGGUCCAGCGGCCCGCCGCAGUGCGGGCAUGCUGCAUCUCUACCGCGUCCCCAAGUCAGGC